rnacentral:rRNA from 1 species
UCGAGCGAGCUUGCCUAGAUGAAUUUGGUGCUUGCACCAGAUGAAACUAGAUACAAGCGAGCGGCGGACGGGUGAGUAACACGUGGGUAACCUGCCCAAGAGACUGGGAUAACACCUGGAAACAGAUGCUAAUACCGGAUAACAACACUAGACGCAUGUCUAGAGUUUAAAAGAUGGUUCUGCUAUCACUCUUGGAUGGACCUGCGGUGCAUUAGCUAGUUGGUAAGGUAACGGCUUACCAAGGCAAUGAUGCAUAGCCGAGUUGAGAGACUGAUCGGCCACAUUGGGACUGAGACACGGCCCAAACUCCUACGGGAGGCAGCAGUAGGGAAUCUUCCACAAUGGACGCAAGUCUGAUGGAGCAACGCCGCGCGAGUGAAGAAGGGUUUCGGCUCGUAAAGCUCUGAUGGUAGUGAAGAAAGAUAGAGGUAGUAACUGGCCUUUAUUUGACGGUAAUUACUUAGAAAGUCACGGCUAACUACGUGCCAGCAGCCGCGGUAAUACGUAGGUGGCAAGCGUUGUCCGGAUUAUUGGGCGUAAAGCGAGUGCAGGCGGUUCAAUAAGUCUGAUGUGAGAGCCUUCGGCUCAACCGGAGAAUUGCAUCAGAAACUGUUGAACUUGAGUGCAGAAGAGGAGAGUGGAACUCCAUGUGUAGCGGUGGAAUGCGUAGAUAUAUGGAAGAACACCAGUGGCGAAGGCGGCUCUCUGGUCUGCAACUGACGCUGAGGCUCGAAAGCAUGGGUAGCGAACAGGAUUAGAUACCCUGGUAGUCCAUGCCGUANACGAUGAGUGCUAAGUGUUGGGAGGUUUCCGCCUCUCAGUGCUGCAGCUAACGCAUUAAGCACUCCG